UACGGAGGGUGCAAGCGUUAUCCGGAUUCACUGGGUUUAAAGGGUGCGCAGGCGGAUUUGUAAGUCAGUGGUGAAAGCCCCGGGCUCAACCUGGGAAUUGCCGUUGAUACUGCAAGUCUUGAGUAUAGUUGAGGUGGGCGGAAUACAUCAUGUAGCGGUGAAAUGCUUAGAUAUGAUGUAGAACACCGAUUGCGAAGGCAGCUCACUAAACUAUAACUGACGCUCAGGCACGAAAGCGUGGGUAUCAAACAGG
rnacentral:rRNA from 1 species